GUGCUUAAAGGACGCUGCCUUGAUCUUGGCUUAGCCACCUCUUUUGCCACAACCAGCAUGACAACCACAACUACACCGGCCGCCGAACAAGUCUCGUUACUACCGGAGGACACCAUCUUCGAGAUCCUAUCCUGGCUGCCGGCGAAGUCCCUGUGCCAAUCCCGGUGUGUGUCCAAGAAUUGGCACAUCCUCGUCUCCAACCAGGCCUUCGUUGCCGUGCACAGUUCCCGUGCCGAACCGCUCCUCGUUACCGUUACCACCGAUAGAGUCCCCUUUAUGGCUGUAGCGGUGCUGCGGCUCAUGGACAUGGAGGGCAACGUGGUGAAGGUGGUGCAAACCUGUGGUGUGUUCCGGAGUUUCUUCCUGAGCUUCGAUGGCCUCGCAUGUCUCAUCUUCGGCCACCAAUGUGAUACCAAGGCCCAGGUGAUUGAUCUAGCCACUGCAAAGGUCCUCAUGUCUAGCUAUAAACGGCCCGAGUUUGCCGGCAAGUGGAUAGACAAAUGCUCUGGCUUCGGACGCACCGCCCAGUCCGGUGUGCACAAGAUCUUCGGCGUCAUCCUCGAGUCCGCGAUAACCGGCCUCUACAAUUGUGUGGUUCUCACGGUAGGAGAUGACGAUGCCGAGUGGAGGCCCACGCAGCCGCCCCCACACUCAAUCUCUGCCGUCUACGACAGCUACAGCGAAGGGGUCACCUUCAACGGCUACGUGCACUUCUUAUCCCUGGACGAGGACAUCGUGAUCAUGGUCUGCUUCGACCUCGAGACGGAGGGGUGGAAGGUGAUCCAAGGACCACCCGAUGUAUCCAGCCACACGUCGGGA
rnacentral:rRNA from 1 species